CCUGGGUGACUUGGCUCGAAUCCCACCCGUGUCUGUGGGAGUGCGGGGCACCGACCCCAGCCGCGGGGCCUCGAGACCCCUCGGAGGGCAAAGGCAUGGCUGGGGUCACCAUCUCCACCCAGCCCGCAGCCUGGGACGGGGUUCCUGGCGAGCGGUCCGGCCCUGCGGAGGCAGGAUCGGCAGGAGCUGCCUCAGACCCCAGACCCACCGAGACCCUCGCGGGAGGGGCCCUCCUCCAAGCUGUGAGCUCUGCAGCGGAGCUGCCAAGGUGCCUAGAGCAUGGCCAGCAUGGUUCAGCACAGCCCCAGCCCACAGCUCCACCUCUCUGGUUCCUGAAACCCUGGACGCCAACCCCAGGCAGACCCUGGAAGUAGGAAGAUCAGGGGUGAAGACCCCAGAAUCCAGAUGUAGACAGCGCACAGAGCCUUCCAAGAGCAAAUCAACAAGCACCGGAGCCACCCGCCACUGGGCAGAAGGCCUGCACCUUGCAGGGAUGCAGUCCCAACAGUGAGGUCCCAGCCAGGCUGGCCACCACCUGGACACAGCCCUGCACAGCCCUGGCUCAGGUGGGUGGCCUGGAAGCACUGGGGACGAGGAGGAGAUGCCACCCCUUGCUGGAUGGCCAAGAAGCUGCCUCCCAGGCCUGGCUGUCCCUCCUAUUCAGCUCUACCCAUGCCCAAGCCAGUCUCUGGGGCCCUCCAUGCACAGGCCCAGGGCAGAUGGUGCCCUGACCCUGUGACCUAGGGCUCUCGGACGCCCUCCCUGGCCCACACAGAUCCGCAGGACAGAAAAGCACCAGAGGGGAGAGGGAGAGAGGAGGAGGGCCAGACCACCUGGACGUCCAAGGAUGCUGUCCUCCCUGGACUGAUGGAUCUUUGCUCUCAAGGGGACUGGAGGCUUCCGGUGGCUGGGGGCAGGCAAGAGCCCCUGACCUGGACAGGACAUUGAGAGGCCAACCGAGCAGGUGGCUCUUGUGAAUUCCUCAGCAGGGGCAGGUGGCUCUGCCUUGAGGCCCAGGAAGAAGACUGGCCCUGUAUGGGACAGUCAGGCUGCACUUGGCCCUCACCUGGCACACGCCAACCCAAGUGAGGACCCCACCCACUCUUAUCCCAGGGUCCUGAGAGCGCUGGAACCCAAGGAUGUACCUCCCUCACCCUGGGCUGUUCACACUGAGGAGGAGUGAGGGGAGGAGGGGGAGCAAGG